GCCUGGACAAUCUCCAGUUUAUCAUUCUGGGAGGAGGGAUGGACCACUAAUAAGAAGCCUUGAUUCAACAUUGCUUCAGACUACAUGACCCAGAGGACACCCAGAUGCUUCACAUAAGAAAUGCAGAAGCCAUCUCCUCUUAUGCCAACUGCCUCAUCAAGCCUCCUGCACAAUGCACAGGUGGGCUCAUAAUCCAGCCUGGGUGUGAAUGAUAUGGCGGGUGCUGAUGACUUUGUGUCACCUCCACAGGAGCCAGCUGAGUUUUCCAUGCACACGUCUACCUCCUGGUAAACACAUCAGUCCAUAUGCAGUGCAGGCUACCUCUCAAAGUGCAGGAAAAAUAAGCAGAG